rnacentral:rRNA from 1 species
CCUACGGGGGGCAGCAGUGAGGAAUAUUGGUCAAUGGCCGGAAGGCUGAACCAGCCAUGCCGCGUGAAGGUCAGUGCCCUAUGGGCGUUAAACUUCUUUUGUGCGGGAGCAAUAAUGGUCACGUGUGGCCAGACGAGAGUACCGUACGAAUAAGCAUCGGCUAACUCCGGGCCAGAGGCGGCGGUAAUACGGGGGAUGCAAGCGUUAUCCGGAGUUAUUGGGUUUAAAGGGUGCGUAGGCUGGGGGGUAAGUCAGCGGUGAAAUGCCCCCGCUCAACGGGGUGAAGUGCCAUUGAUACUGGCGUGCUGGAGUGCGGGUGCGGUGGGAGGAAUGUGUGGUGUAGCGGUGAAAUGCAUAGAUAUCACGCAGAACACCGAUUGCGAAGGCAUCUCACGAGUCCGCGAUUGACGCUGAUGCACGAAAGCGUGGGUAUCAAACAGGAUUAGAUACCCUUGUAGUC